UGGCAGCUCAACGGUGCCGGUUCCCGUCUGGCGCGAUGCCCGGCGGGAUUAAAAGGGAACAUGGUGCGAAGCCAUGGCUGCCCCCGCAACUGUCAGCAGCGAGUCCUCUGCGCAAACGAUGCCACUGGUUGCCCAACGCGACCGGGAAGGCGCGCGAGAACAACGACCUGCGAGCCAGGAGACCUGCCGUCACCGAGAGUCCAAU
rnacentral:ncRNA from 2 species